rnacentral:rRNA from 1 species
UGCUUAAGUUGGAAUUGUCGCGGUGCGGGGAACACCACGACUGUUGGUGAGCUAGUUUCCCUGGUUAAAAUCAACAAUCCUAGCAUUGUUUUUCUUUGUGAAACUCGCCAGAAAAAAGAAAAAAUGCAUCGCCUGCGGAAUAGGUUGGGUCUUCGUGGUUUCGAAGGAGUUAGUAGUGAUGGCCUUAGUGGAGGUCUUGCUAUGUAUUGGCAUGAGAGUCUG